CGGGGUGUGGCGCAGCUGUAGCGCGCCUGUUUUGGGAACAGGAGGCCCUCGGUUCGAUCCCGAGCACCCCGA
rnacentral:tRNA from 1 species